UGAUGCGGCUGGCUGGCGGGAGCCUGUUGUGCUUCCCCCACAGUGGUAUAAGCGACGGCUCUCUGUGCUGCUCAACCAUGCUAGGCCUUUGGCGGGAAUCAGAUGGUUGGCAUCAGGCUGGGGUUGCUUUGAGCACACGGCAACAUCAGUGGAACCUCAAUAGUCCACAGCAGGCAACCCUGGAUGAUCUGAGGCUCAUGAUGCGGCUGGCUGGUGGGAGCCUGUUGUGCUUCUCCACAGUGGUAUG
rnacentral:lncRNA from 1 species